UGAAGAUAAGCCAUGACCAUG
rnacentral:piRNA from 1 species